rnacentral:rRNA from 1 species
CUCGACCUCGGAUCGGACGAGACCACCCGCUGAAUUUAAGCAUAUCACUAAGCGGAGGAAAAGAAACUAACCAGGAUUCCCCCAGUAGCGGCGAGUGAAGCGGGAAGAGCCCAUCGCCGAAUCCCAGCGGCCCUCAGGCCCUGGGAGCUGUGGCGUGAGGCGGCUUCGGGCGCGCGAGUCCACGGCGCCGAGGUCCUCCUGAUCGGGGCACCUUACCCAGAGCGGGUGUCAGGCCCGUUCGGGCGCCGGGACUCAAGGGCCUGGAGCCACCAAGAGUCGGGUAGUUUUGGAAUGCUGCCCAAAGAGGGGUGGUGAACUCCAUCCAAGGCUAAAUACUGGCACGAGACCGAUAGCAGACAAGU